rnacentral:rRNA from 1 species
AUAUCAAUAAGCGGAGGAGAAGAAACUAACCAGGAUUCCUUAGUAGCGGCGAGCGAACCGGGAAGUGCCCAACUUGUAAAUCUCCAGCUCGCAGCUGGCGAAUUGUAGUCUAGAGAAGCGCCCUCUGCGGCAGCUCGGCCUCAAGUCCCUUGGAAGAGGGUGUCAGAGAGGGUGAGAACCCCGUCGGCGCCGAGGCCUGCCGCUCCACGAGACGCUUUCCUCGAGUCGGGUUGUUUGGGAAUGCAGCCCAAAGUCGGUGGUAAAUCCCAUCUAAGGCUAAAUAUGGACGGGAGACCGAUAGCGCACAAGUA